CGUGGAGUAGUUUAAUCGGCAAAAUGCGAUUUUCAUAAAAUCGAUGUUGGUGGUUCAAGCCCACCCUCCACGACCA
rnacentral:tRNA from 1 species